AUGGCCAUGGUGGAGCAGCGGAUCGAGCACAGCCACCUCGCCAUCAGAGGCCUCAACCUCCACGUAGCGCAAGCAGGCACAGGCGAGCUCGGGACGGUGCUGUUCCUGCACGGCUUCCCGGAGAUAUGGUACUCGUGGCGCCACCAGAUGCUGGCCGUGGCCGCCGCCGGGUACCGUGCCAUCGCGCCGGACUGGCGGGGGUAUGGCCUCUCCGACCAGCCGCCGGAGCCGGAGGCGGCGGCGUACAGCGACCUGACAGAGGAUCUCCUCGCCCUCCUGGAUGCGCUCUCCGUCCCCAAGGCUUACCUUGUGGCAAAGGAUUUCGGAGCCAUGCUAGCUUAUGAUUUUGCUCUUCGUCACCCCAGCCGCACAUGCGGUGUUAUGUGUUUGGGCAUCCCUUUUCUUCACGGUGGCUCCUCCUUCACUGCCAUGCCCGAAGGCUUCUAUAUACUGCGUUGGCGGGAACCAGGAAGAGCAGAGGCAGACUUUGGCAGGUAUGACGUCAAGCGAGUCGUGCACACCAUCUACAUUCUCUUCUCUAGAAGCGAAAUCCCGACAGCGAAGGAAGAUCAAGAAAUCACGGAUCUCGCGGACCUGUCGACUCCCCUUCCAGAGUGGUUCACCGAGGAGGAUCUUGCAGUCUACACGUCCCUCUAUGAGAAAUCAGGUUUCGUGUAUCCACUGCAGAUGCCAUACAGGUCUCUCCAUAAGAGGCAACCAAUCGAAGACCCAAAAUUCGAAGUCCCGGUGUUCGUCGUCAUGGGGGAGAAAGACUACGUGAUCAAGUUCCCCGGGGUCGAGGCCGUGUUGAAAAAUGGCACCAUGGAGAAGUUUGCGCCGGAUCUGAAGAUCACUUACAUCCCUGAAGGAAGCCAUUUCGUUCAGGAGCAGUUCCCGGACAAGGUCAACGAGCUCCUCCUUGGCUUCCUCAAGGACCAUCCUGUGGCUUGA
rnacentral:rRNA from 1 species